UACAAAAUAAAACGUUUGUAUGGGAAAAAGAAAAGGGCUGUUUUUAGGGGUUUUCCGGCAACUUUCGUAAUUUUUUCUUACAUAAGAACCUUCUCCUAAGAAUAACAAAUACAACGAAAAAAAAAUCAGCCAAAUCGGUUCAGCCAUUCACGCGUGAUGCCGUGACAACGAAAACGGUUUCAUUUUUAUAUAUAAGAUAAAUAAUUUUCUUUUUUAUUAAGCAACAAUAUUUAUAGUUUUUGUUAUUUAAUAAAAUAAAUUUGCUAAGUAUUUACUACCUCAACUUAUACAGCACCGCGUUGCUACUACUGAAAAUCCAAGAUGGUCGCUAUUCACCCCUCAGAAAGCUACCACGAAAAAGUUAUCUACUGUAUAUACUGUGCUCGUAGCGAACGGUCGUCAUGUCAUCGUCGGAUGAUGAUUAUUUAUUAUUGGCAUGUGCUGCAAUACUUAUGAAAAGAAAAAAAUUAAAAAGGAGAAGAAGAAGGCGAAGUGGAUGAAAAACUGGUAUAAACAGCGUAAUAAGCUUACGCAUGAAAAUCUUCUCGCAAAAUUACAAAUAUCCAGCAAAACGGGUUAUUGUAAUAUUUUGCGACUGGAUUGCGACACAUUUAAUGAGCUCUUAACUAAGGUGGAGCCAUUAAUUAAUACAAAAAAAAAAUACAGUGAUGCGAGAAGCAAUACCAGCUAACAUGCGUUUGUCAGCAACCUUAAGAUAUUUGGCGACCGGAGAUAAAUUUGAAGAUCUUAAAUUUAUAACUGCAAUUUCUCCUAGAUCCCUUGGAUUGAUUAUCAUAGAAACUUGUGAGGCAAUUAUUUCGUUGCUUUCAACAUUUAUAAAGGUGCCGCAGUCAGUAUCGGAAUGGAGAUCAAUUGCAGAAGAAUUUUAUGAACUUUGGAAUUUUCCAAACUGCAUAGGCGCAUUGGACGAAA